ACAGGGUAGGGUGGGUAAAGUAAAACGGGUUGGGGGUCCUUAUGCAAUCAGGAUCCUUUCACAUACAGGUGCCACAAUGCACAAUUCUAGGAUUAACCAGGUUCGUUUUUGUUUGCAUCAUCUUGGAUGGUCUGAGGUGUGUGGUGGAUGGGUCCACUAGUCUUGGGAUUUCUCCUGGAUUGUUGUAAGAGGUGCUUCCAUGCCUGAGGCACUUGGGGCCCCAGGUGCUCGUUGGGGAGCGGCUCCUUUAGUGUGCCUCUUUGGGAUUUCCAAUGUUUUUAUGUUGAGAGCUUGGGAGGGAUCCGUUAUCAGCUUUAUGAUUUUUGCUUCAUCCCAGUGUAUGGUUAAGUCAGUGUCAUAAGCAGUCAUAGCUAGAGCCGUUGUUAGUUUUGCCUUCACUAUAUCAUUUUUGUAUUUAUUUAAACGUUGGGCCAAGGUCCUAUUGGUGACUCCUAUGUAAGCUGCUUAUUUGUUUGAAUCAUGGUAAGUGACUGGUAUUCUAUAGACCUCUGUUUUUUCCAGUUCUUCUUUUGGGUCUCUUUCAUUUCAAAGUCUGUUAAAGACGGUUAGGGUCUUAGUAACUGUUAUUCCUUUUCAACCUUCUUGGCUACUUUUUGGCAAACGGCAUCUGAUUAAAAGAAUACGGCACUGGUAUAUAGCCAGAGUUUUCUACUGUUGGACUUUCCUCAUUGUGCUGCUUGCAUAAUUUUCUUUCUACCGAUUCAUGUACGUGGUAUAAAAACCUCUUACCAUACCCAUGUUUGUAUCUUAUAUUAUAGAUGUAAUCAAUUUCAUGUUGUAGAUCUUCUUUAUCCAUUGAGUAUAACUUGGCUCUCCUUAAAAAUGAUCUGAACAUGGUUUGUUUAAACGAUAGAGAGUCAUCGGACCAUCUAGGUAUUACUACAGGCACAUAUGAAGGUUUCCUAUAUACUGCAGUUACUAUUUUGCCUUCCACAUACUUUAUGUGUAUGUCCAGGAAGUGUACUUCCCAUUAGCUGACUUGACAGCCUAGGCUAAGAUUUUUCAUCAGAUACAUUGAUGACAUCAUCGUAUCUGAUAAAGUCCUCCCAAGCUCUCAACAUGGAAAUAGUGGAAGUCCUGGAGAGACACACUGGGGAGCGGCUCCUUAAUGAGCGCCUGAGGCCUCGGGUGCUGCAGGCGUGGAGGUGCCUCUUGCAGCGGUCCGGGAGGGACCUCGGGACUGGUGGACCCAUUUCGCCGCAUGCCUCAGAUCGUUCAGGAUGAUGUGGGCAAGAAUGAACCUGGUUAACCCUAGAAUACUAGAAUUGUGCAUUGUGGCACCUGUAUGUGAAAGGAUUUUGGUUGUAUAAGGACUUCUUCUGAUUUGUUUUAUUUUAUUUACUUUGCUUUGUUUUGUUUUACUUAUAUUCUUACUUGUUG
rnacentral:lncRNA from 1 species